rfam:Amborella trichopoda AMTR_V1.0_contig_15988, whole genome shotgun sequence.
CUCGAAUCGUGGUAUUGGAACGGCUCAAUCAGAUGAGAAGUCCUUAGAAGAGCAGGUCUUAUAAUCAGAUUGAGCCGCGCCAAUAUCACGUUGCUUCGC